rnacentral:lncRNA from 1 species
GAGCCUGGCCAAGCUGCACGGGGCAUCGGCGGGCGCGCCCCACUCGGCCCAGACGCAUCCCCACCACCAUCACCACCCUCACCACCACCACCACCACCACCCCCCGCAGCCGCCGUCGCCGCUUCUGCUGCUGCCCCCGCAGCCCGACGAGCAGGGUUCCGAGCGCCACCACCCGGCCCCGCCGCCGCCGCCGCCCCCGCGGCCCCCUCUGGCCCCGCACCCGCACCACCGAGGCCUUCUGUCUCCCGGGGGAACCAGCUGCAGCUACCCCAGCGAGGACAGCUCCGAGGACGAGGACGACGAGGAAGAAGAGCAGGAGGUGGACGUGGAGGGCCACAAGCCCCCCGAGGGCGAGGAAGAGGAGGAAGGUCGAGACCCUGACGACGACGAGGAAGAGGACGAGGAGACGGAGGUCCUACUCGGCGACCCCUUAGUCGGGGGCGGCCGGUUCCUGCAGGGCCGAGGGCCGUCGGAGAAGGGGAGCAGCCGGGACCGCGCGCCGGCCGUCGCGGGCGCGUUCCCGCUCGGCCUGAACUCCUCCAGGCUGCUGCAGGAAGACGGGAAACUCGGGGACCCCGGCUCGGACCUGCCCCCGCCCCCGCCGCCGCCCCUGGCCCCCCAGAAGGCGAGUGGCGGCGGCAGCAGCAGCCCGGGCAGCCCAGUUCACCAUCCAUCACUGGAGGAGCAGCCCUCCUACAAAGAUAGUCAGAAAACUAAGGAAAAUAACCAAGUAAUUGUAUCUACAAAGGAUGACAACAGCUUUUCAGAUAAGAACAAGGAGCAUAGCUUUUUCAUCACAGACUCUGAUGCUUCUGGAGGAGAUUUUUGGAGAGAAAGAUCAGGUGAACAUACACAAGAAACCAACUCACCUCAUUCACUGAAAAAGGAUGUAGAAAAUAUGGGGAAAGAAGAACUUCAGAAGGUUUUAUUUGAACAAAUAGAUUUACGGAGACGACUGGAACAAGAAUUCCAGGUGUUAAAAGGAAACACGUCUUUCCCAGUAUUCAAUAAUUUUCAGGAUCAGAUGAAAAGGGAGCUAGCCUACCGAGAAGAAAUGGUGCAACAGUUACAAAUUAUCCCCUAUGCAGCAAGCUUGAUCAGGAAAGAAAAGCUGGGCGCCCAUCUCAGCAAAAGCUAAAAGCCUAUGAAGGAUGAGAAGCUGCAUUCGAGAAGGAAUGUAAACCAAGUCCCAGAGUCUGGAAACAGGUUCUCAGUGACCAC